GUCUAAGGCCGGGUCUCUAAGCUAAAUCCAAGAUGUGGGACAAAAUGUUUCAAUUGUUUCUUUGCUAUAACAUGUGCGGGAAGUUUUGAUUCAAAUUUUAGACAUUUUAAAGCUUUAAAUGACAGAAAAAUCCCUCCCAAAAAAUCUGUGUUCGCUUCUAAAUAAGAGACAGCAUCGUUUCAUUUGAGGUCUAUCUUGAAAGCGAUUAUUACGAAGAAGUCAAGCAGAUACCAGCUUUUGAAUGGUUUGAAAUAUUGAGCGACAUUGGUGGUAACCUUGGGUUGUUCCUUGGUGUCAGUAUUCUGACCUUAGUGGAAUACGUCGAUUACGUCAUCAGAAUACUAUGGUACAAACUGCGCAUGACACUAAAAUCUAAAAAUAUUGAGUUAAAGCCACGUGAUAGGCCAUAAACCUCUGGCUCGCAUCAAAUACCAUUAGUAUAAUUUUAGACUUGAAUAUAGAGUUUCUCGAGCUGUGAUUGGUCGAGCGACAGGUGAUUCUGAGCAAUAAUCACCCCUGGAGCGGUGAUUAUGAGGUUUUCCAAAGUUUGCCAGAGCAGAAGUAAUACUAAAACGUUUUUUUAUCCUGAAUUUCGACUUUUCUCAUAUUCAAGUCUAAAAUUAUGUUAAAAUAAUAUUACUCGUGGCUCGGUAAAUAUUCCACAACCGAUAAUCACUUCGCCUUUGGCGAAUAAUUGUUAAUUGUAAUGUAUAUCUAAUAUAGUUUUCCGUGCAGUUAUCAAACUAAAGCAAUAGUAAGGAUAAGGAUAAGUGAUGCAAAAGAAUGGAUAAUUAUUUCUCAACGACCAAUCUGUUCCAUUUUCCCUUUUACCAAAAUUUUUUAAUUUCUGAUAGGAUAAUGUUUUUCGUCGAUAAGAGAACAGACCAAUGAGCUGACGUCGCGCGCUCUUUCCGUUGGUUGUUUUUAUAACUAAAAGCGUCGAAAAAAUGCGUUUUAA